UCCCAGGUGGCUGAGUGACAAAGGAUCCGCCUGCAAUGCAGGAGACACAGGUUUGAUCCCUGGCCUGGGAA
rfam:TPA: Bos taurus chromosome 15, whole genome shotgun sequence.